rnacentral:rRNA from 1 species
GGCAUUCCGCACUCGGCCGAGAACUGCACUCGCUGGGUCUGGCAUGACAAUUGCCGCGGCAAAGACGCGGACUCCCACUGGUGCCAGCAGUACAAGGCCCUAGAAGCGGAACAUCUCCCCAUAUCUCCCCGUAUCCCCAUAUCCCGCGCGCGGGUGAUCCAUCUUCUGGCUCGCUGUGCU